ACGAAUUGAAAAAGAAAAAGAGCAUAAACAUAGAAAUCACGAACCUGAAGGAGGUGAUUUUUAGAAACGAUGAAGAUUAGGUUAGAGUGAAAAUGAAGAUACAGAGAAGUCACCACAACUAAUGUUUUUGUGAUAAAAAUAAAGAUUAGGUAAGAUGAACAUACCACGAAGACGGAAACUCGCCGCCUUGACCUUGCCGCUUCGAUCUCG
rnacentral:lncRNA from 1 species